CCUACGGGAGGCAGCAGUGAGGAAUAUUGGUCAAUGGUCGCAAGCCUGAACCAGCCACGUCGCGUGAGGGAUGACGGUCCUAUGGAUUGUAAACCUCUUUUGUCGGGGAGCAAGGCCCGCCAAGUGUGGCGGGAAGGAGAGUACCCGCAGAAAAAGCAUCGGCUAACUCCUUGCCAUCAGCCGCGGUAAUACGGAGGAUGCGAGCGUUAUCCGGAUUUAUUGGGUUUAAGGGGUGCGUAGGCGGAAGGUUAAGUCAGCGGUAAAAUGUCGGUGCUCAACACCGGCCUGCCGUUGAAACUGGUCUUCUUGAGUGAGCGAGAGGUAUGCGGAAUGCGUGGUGUAGCGGUGAAAUGCAUAGAUAUCACGCAGAACUCCGAUUGCGAAGGCAGCAAACCGGCGCUCAACUGACGCUGAGGUACGAAAGCGUGGGGAUCGAACAGGAUUAGAUACCCCAGUAGUC
rnacentral:rRNA from 1 species